AGCAGAGUUGCAGACAGGGUCUAUGACAUUGCAAGGACAUUUCCUUUGGCAUUGGACAUUGGCUGUGGGAAAAGUCACAUUGCUGAGCAUUUGUACGAGGUAGCCUUCAAUGGUUGCUCAUAAACAGGAAGUAGUUGAGCAGCUCUUCUUAAUUGACAUCUCAGAAAAGUCUUUGGGAGGAGACCAAGAAUCAGAUGGUCACUCUGACAGAGCUCCAGAGUUCCUCUGUGGAGAUGGGAGAACCUUCCAGAAGGCCAACCAUCUCUGCAGCACUCCACCAAUUAGGCCUUUAUGGUAGAGUGGCCAGACGGAAGCCACUCCUUAGUAAAAGGCACAUGACAGCCUGCUUGGAGUUUUCCAAAAGCCACCUAAAGGACUCUCAGACCAUGAGGAACAAGAUUUUCUGGUCUGAUGAAACCAAGAUUGAACUCUUUGGCCUGAAUGCCAAGCGUCACUUCUGGAGGAAACCUGGCACCAUUCGUACGGUGAAGCAUGGUGGUGGCAUAAUCAUGCUGUGGGGAUGUUUUCAGCGGUAGGGACUGGGAGACUAGUCAGGAUCGAGGGAAAGAUGCACGAAGCAAAGAACAGAGAGAUCCUUGAAAACCUGCUCCAGAGUGCUCAAGACCUCAGACUUGGGUGAAGGUUCACCUUCCAACAGGACAACGACCCUAAGCACACAGUCAAGACAACGCAGGAGUGGCUUCGGGGAAAGUCUCUGAAUGUCCAAAUACAGGAGUGCCAAGCUUGUAGCGUCAUACCCAAGAAGACUCGAGGUUGUAAUUGCUGCCAAAGGUGCUUCAACAAAGUACUGAGUAAAGGGUCUGAAUUACUUAUGUGAAUGUGAUCAGUUUUUUAUUUUUAAUACAUUUGCAAAUAAUGUCUAAAAACCUGUUUUUGCUUUUUCUUAUGGGGUAUUGUGUGUAGAUUGAUGGGAAAAAAACAAUUGAAUCAAUUUUAGAAUAAGGCUGUAACGUAACAAAAUGUGGAAAAAGUCAAGGGGUCUGAAUACUUUCCGAAUGCACUGUAAUUCUAGAGGUUCCUAUUCAUGCACAAAUUGCACAUUAUCCCCCUGUGUUAAUGCCUUGAUAUAGUUUUUACUUCUUGUAUAACUGCAUUGCA